rnacentral:rRNA from 1 species
UACGUAGGGGGCGAGCGUUAUUCGGAUUUACUGGGCGUAAAGCGCGUGUAGGCGGCUGGUUAAGCGUGAUGUGAAAUCUCCGGGCUCAACCCGGAAACUGCAUUGCGAACUGGCCUGGCUGGAGUGCAGGAGAGGGUAGUGGAAUUCCCAGUGUAGAGGUGAAAUUCGUAGAUAUUGGGAAGAACACCGGUGGCGAAGGCGGCGACCUGGUCCGUGACUGACGCUGAGGCGCGAAAGCGUGGGGAGCAAACAGG